CAGUAGCCACGGUAAUACGUAGGUGGCAAGUGUUGUCCGGAAUUAUUGGGCGUAAAGGGCUCGCAGGCGGUUUCUUAAGUCUGAUGUGAAAGCCCCCGGCUCAACCGGGGAGGGUCAUUGGAAACUGGGAAACUUGAGUGCAGAAGAGGAGAGUGGAAUUCCACGUGUAGCGGUGAAAUGCGUAGAGAUGUGGAGGAACACCAGUGGCGAAGGCGACUCUCUGGUCUGUAACUGACGCUGAGGAGCGAAAGCGUGGGGAGCGAACAGGAUUAGAUACCCCUGUAGUCCCUGUCUCUUAUAC
rnacentral:rRNA from 1 species